rnacentral:rRNA from 1 species
GACAGAGGGUGCAAACGUUGCUCGGAAUCACUGGGCGUAAAGGGCGCGUAGGCGGCUUUAUAAGUCGGGGGUGAAAGCCUGUGGCUCAACCACAGAAUUGCCUUCGAUACUGUAGAGCUUGAGACCGGAAGAGGUAAGUGGAACUGCGAGUGUAGAGGUGAAAUUCGUAGAUAUUCGCAAGAACACCAGUGGCGAAGGCGGCUUACUGGUCCGGUUCUGACGCUGAGGCGCGAAAGCGUGGGGAGCAAACAGG